GCGGCGGACGGGUGAGUAAUGUCUGGGAAACUGCCUGAUGGAGGGGGAUAACUACUGGAAACGGUAGCUAAUACCACAUAACGUCGCAAGACCAAAGAGGGGGACCUUCGGGCCUCUUGCCAUCAGAUGUGCCCAGAUGGGAUUAGCUAGUAGGUGGGGUAAUGGCUCACCUAGGCGACGAUCCCUAGCUGGUCUGAGAGGAUGACCAGCCACACUGGAACUGAGACACGGUCCAGACUCCUACGGGAGGCAGCAGUGGGGAAUAUUGCACAAUGGGCGCAAGCCUGAUGCAGCCAUGCCGCGUGUGUGAAGAAGGCCUUCGGGUUGUAAAGCACUUUCAGCGAGGAGGAAGGUGGUGAACUUAAUACGUUCAUCAAUUGACGUUACUCGCAGAAGAAGCACCGGCUAACUCCGUGCCAGCAGCCGCGGUAAUACGGAGGGUGCAAGCGUUAAUCGGAAUUACUGGGCGUAAAGCGCACGCAGGCGGUUUGUUAAGUCAGAUGUGAAAUCCCCGGGCUCAACCUGGGAACUGCAUUUGAAACUGGCAAGCUAGAGUCUCGUAGAGGGGGGUAGAAUUCCAGGUGUAGCGGUGAAAUGCGUAGAGAUCUGGAGGAAUACCGGUGGCGAAGGCGGCCCCCUGGACGAAGACUGACGCUCAGGUGCG
rnacentral:rRNA from 1 species